rnacentral:rRNA from 1 species
UGGGGAAUUUUGGACGAAUUGGGCGAAAGCCUGAUCCAGCAAUGCCGCGUGUGUGAAGAAGGCCUUCGGGUUGUAAAGCACUUUUGUCCGGAAAGAAAUCCUUGGCUCUAAUACAGUCGGGGGAUGACGGUACCGGAAGAAUAAGCACCGGCUAACUACGUGCCAGCAGCCGCGGUAAUACGUAGGGUGCAAGCGUUAAUCGGAAUUACUGGGCGUAAAGCGUGCGCAGGCGGUUUGCUAAGACCGAUGUGAAAUCCCCGGGCUCAACCUGGGAACUGCAUUGGUGACUGGCAGGGCUAGAGUAUGGCAGAGGGGGGUGAGAAUUCCACGUGUAGCAGUGAAAUGCGUAGAGAUGUGGAGGAAUACCGAUGGCGAAGGCAGCCCCCUCGGCAAGUA